GAUCCUGGCUCAGGACGAACGCUGGCGGCGUGCUUAACACAUGCAAGUCGAACGGGAUUUAGUAAACAGAAGCCUCGGUGGAAGAUUACUAAUGAGAGUGGCGAACGGGUGAGUAACGCGUGAGCAACCUGCCUAUGACAGUGGGAUAGCCUCGGGAAACCGGGAUUAAUACCGCAUAAAAUCGUAGAAACACAUGUUUUAACGGUCAAAGAUUUAUCGGUCAUAGAUGGGCUCGCGUCUGAUUAGCUAGG
rnacentral:rRNA from 1 species